GACGAACGCUGGCGGCGUGCCUAAUACAUGCAAGUUGAGCGCUGAAGGUUGGUACUUGUACCAACUGGAUGAGCAGCGAACGGGUGAGUAACGCGUGGGGAAUCUGCCUUUGAGCGGGGGACAACAUUUGGAAACGAAUGCUAAUACCGCAUAAAAACUUUAAACACAAGUUUUAAGUUUGAAAGAUGCAAUUGCAUCACUCAAAGAUGGUCCCGCGUUGUAUUAGCUAGUUGGUGAGGUAAAGGCUCACCAAGGCGAUGAUACAUAGCCGACCUGAGAGGGUGAUCGGCCACAUUGGGACUGAGACACGGCCCAAACUCCUACGGGAGGCAGCAGUAGGGAAUCUUCGGCAAUGGACGAAAGUCUGACCGAGCAACGCCGCGUGAGUGAAGAAGGGUGUCGGAUCGUAAAACUCGGUUGGUAGAGAAGAACGUUGGUGAGAGUGGAAAGCUCAUCAAGUGACGGUAACUACCCAGAAAGGGACGGCUAACUACGUG
rnacentral:rRNA from 1 species